rnacentral:rRNA from 1 species
UACGGAGGAUGCGAGCGUUAUCCGGAUUUAUUGGGUUUAAAGGGUGCGUAGGCGGGUUAUCAAGUCAGCGGUAAAAUCGUGGAGCUCAACUCCAUCCAGCCGUUGAAACUGAUGAUCUUGAGUGGGCGAGAAGUAUGCGGAAUGCGUGGUGUAGCGGUGAAAUGCAUGGAUAUCACGCAGAACUCCGAUUGCGAAAGCAGCAUACCGGCGCCCGACUGACGCUGAAGCACGAAAGCGUGGGUAUCGAACAGG